GAUGAACGCUGGCGGCGUGCCUAAUACAUGCAAGUCGAGCGAACAGACGAGGAGCUUGCUCCUCUGCCGUUAGCGGCGGACGGGUGAGUAACACGUGGAUAAGAUACCUAUAAGACGGGGAUGAUUUCGGGAAACCGGAGAUAAUACCGGAUAACAUGAUGAACCGCAUGGUUCAACAGAGAAAGGCGGUCUUGCCGUCACUUAUAGACGGAUCCGUGUCGGAUUAGCGAGUGGGUAAGGUAACGGCCAACCAAGGCAACGAUGCGUAGCCGAUCUGAGAGGGUGAUCGGCCACACUGGAACUGAGACACGGUCCAGACUCCUACGGGAGGCAGCAGUGGGGAAUCUUCGGCAAUGGGCGCAAGCCUGACCGAGCAACGCCGCGUGAGUGAAGAAGGUCUUCGGAUCGUAAAGCUCUGUUAUUAGGGAAGAACAAAUGUGUAAGUAUCUACGCACGUCUUGACGGUACCUAAUCAGAAAGCCACGGCUAACUUCGUG
rnacentral:rRNA from 1 species